rnacentral:rRNA from 1 species
UGAGGAAUAUUGGUCAAUGGGCGAGAGCCUGAACCAGCCACGUCGCGUGAAGGAAGACUGACCUUACGGUUUGUAAACUUCUUUUGUAGAGGGGUAAUGGCAGAUACGUGUAUUUGCGUGAAAGUACUCUACGAAUAAGCAUCGGCUAACUCCGUGCCAGCAGCCGCGGUAAUACGGGGGAUGCGAGCGUUAUCCGGAAUUAUUGGGUUUAAAGGGUGCGCAGGUGGCUAAUCAGGUCAGUGGUGAAAAGCUAUGGCUCAACCAUGGUCUUGCCAUUGAAACCGUAUAGCUAGAGAGGAGACGAGGUAGGCGGAAUGUGUGGUGUAGCGGUGAAAUGCAUAGAUAUUACGCAGAACUCCGAUUGCGAAGGCAGCUUACAAAACUACUACUGACACUGAGGCACGAAAGCGUGGGUAUCAAACAGG